GAUGAACGCUGGCGGCGUGCCUAAUACAUGCAAGUCGAGCGAACAGACGAGGAGCUUGCUCCUCUGACGUUAGCGGCGGAGGUGUGAGUCACGCGUGGAUAACCUACCUAUAAGACUGGGAACAUCACGGGACUCCGGCGCUUAUCCCGGAGAAUCUCUUGCAGCACGUUGUUCGAUAGUAAAAUUCGGCUUUGCGGUCUCUACUCGCUGCAUCCCCGCCGGAUUAGCUAGUUGUUAGGGUAACAGCUUACCAAGGCUACGCUGCGUAGCCGACCUGCGAGGGGGAUCGGCGACACUGGAGCUGGGACGCGGUCCAGACUCCUACGGGAGGCAGCAGUAGGGAAUCGGCCGCAAUGGGCGAAAGCUUGGCGGAGCAACGCCGCGUGAGUGAUGAAGGUGUUCGGAUCGUAAAACUCUGUUAUUAGGGAAGAACAAAUGUGUAAGUAACUGUGCACGUCUUGACGGUACCUAAUCAGAAAGCCACGGCUAACUACGUG
rnacentral:rRNA from 1 species